CAAAAUAAGUGCAGUUUUGCACUGUUCAUGUUCAACUUUUGAUCAUUCGUCUUAUUUGAAAUUUUUUUAUGAUUAAUAUUUUUAUUGUUAUUGGAUGAUAAAACAUGAAUAGUACUUUAUGUGUGACUAAUUUUUUUUAAAAUUUUCAUAAAAUUUUCAAAUAAGACGAACGGUCAAACGUCGGACACGGUUCUUUACGACUGCACUUAUUUUGGGACGGAGGUAGUACA
rnacentral:pre_miRNA from 1 species